rnacentral:rRNA from 1 species
GACGAACGCUGGUGGCGCGCUUAACACAUGCAAGUCGAGCGAGAACCGGCCCUUCGGGGCCGGGGAAAGCGGCGAACGGGUGAGUAACACGUGGGUAAUCUGCCCUCGGCACCGGGAUAGCCCGGGGAAACCCGGAUUAAUACCGGAUUGCCCUUCCGCGUUUCGGCGCGGCAGGAAAAGGUAGCUUCGGCCUCCGGCCGAGGGUGAGCCCGCGGCGGAUUAGCUUGUUGGUGGGGUAACGGCCUACCAAGGCGACGAUCCGUAGCUGGUCUGAGAGGACGAUCAGCCACACUGGGACUGAGACACGGCCCAGACUCCUACGGGAGGCAGCAGUGGGGAAUCUUGCGCAAUGGGCGAAAGCCUGACGCAGCGACGCCGCGUGCGGGAAGAAGGCCUUCGGGUUGUAAACCGCUUUCAGGAGGGACGAAGCCACUCGGGUUAACAGCCCAGAGGGUGACGGUACCUCCAGAAGAAGCCCCGGCUAACUACGUGCCAGCAGCCGCGGUAAUACGUAGGGGGCAAGCGUUGUCCGGAUUUAUUGGGCGUAAAGAGCGUGUAGG